CAUGAAGAAGACGUAAUUCAACAGCAUAAUUACAUAUGAUUGAGGAAUAUGGACAUGCAGAAUCGGUAUGAGGAUUGCAUAUUUUAUCUAUGCUCAAUAUUCUAUACAAAUUAC